CCCCUUUGCGCUCAGUCAGUGACAGACCUGGGUCCUUUCACGCUUUGUCCUCCCUCUUUCUUUCGUUCUUGCUCGCGCUCCCUCUCUCUCUCUUUUUUAUCUUCCUUCCUUUUCCUACUCCUUGUUUCUUUCUCUCCCUGGCUUUUGUGCGGGGGGCCGUGACGAAUGGCUGAGAAAAGAGGGUGCUGUGAGAAACUGGAGCUGCGCUGGCGGAGUGGGUGCUCUUUCAUCAUCUGCCUGCCUCCCUCCAGCUUCCCCGUGGUUCCUCCAAGGCUCCUUUGUGGCUGUAAUCAAAGCCUGGAAUUUUGCUUGAAUUACGCAGAGCUCGGAGUGUGAGCAGCCCAGCACCAUGGUGGGGCUUCUCUCCAGUGGAGAGGUUGGAGAGGAAGCUGCCGAAAAUGCUGGUGACAAUUCCCAGCCUGCCUACGGGGCUGGGCGACCACCUGGGCAGCGGCACCCACCUCCCUCCCAGCCCCACCACCUCCUUCUUGUGCCCUCCUGGUGAGGCUGGCGUGGGGGCAGAGGGCACCUCCUUGCCCAGGGUGCCUGCCCAGGACACCAGGGCACUGCGUCCCUCACCCCGAGGGAAAACGAAGUGUUGCCUGAGCUCAUCUGCUGCAGUUUGUCAUUCGAGGAGCUGGUGAGCAGAUGAGGUGGUGGAGAUCCCAUCAGGCUCCUUCCUCCUGGAGGCUGGUGCCUGGCUUGGAGGAAGGCUCUUGGGGCAACUGCUGCCCAGUCGCGGCUGCUGCCUGCUCCUGCUGCCCCAGCCCUUUCUCCCCGCUCUCCCCAAAAUCUGCAUGAAGAAGCAAGUAUCUUGUUUGCAAGCUAAAAACUAGAAAUGAUUUAUAUGUUUAUAAGCCCAGCUCUGGCUCUCUUUAUUUUGGCAAAGGAAUUGUUUGCAUCUUUUCAGAAUUCCUUCACCCAAACCACUCAUUAGAUAUGAAUUUCAAAACAGCCAGAGGGAGCGGGUGACUCAGGGGAAUUAGCAAAUGGCUUCCCAAAGCCUUUUACGUCAAGGCCGGCAGCUCCCUUCCAGCCCUUGAUGCCAGUGGCCCAGAAGACACACGCUGUCAUCCAGCGCUGGGUCACCGACCCCAAGCCAGCGGGUGCAUCUGAGGACCUUGGCCUCUGGUCCCCAGCUGGCAGGUGCCUUCGUCACGAGGAACCCCAGCCUGAAGAAGAGGGCCUGGAACCGAUGUCUCCAUCCCAGAGGUUUUGGUGACCACGAGGACCUCGGCUGCGGGCGCUGCCCGUGGAGCUGGGACGUCCCCCCCAGUGCCCAGGGGCACCAGGAGGAUGUCCGAGGGUCCCCGAUGAUGCCAGAUCACCAUGGUGCCCACCUGGCAGCAAGGAAGAAGGCAGCACAUGGUGACAACAGCAGUGCCACCCGCGGGCACGUCCGUGGUGCCCUGGGGGCACACGGCACCUGGGGGACACCGGGCACCUGGGGGUCUGCAGGGCACCUUGGGGGCUCAGGGCCAGCCCCAUGCAGGGGCAGCCUGGUGCUCGUGGUGUUCCUCCAUCCCGCGGUGCCAGGGGGCACCCGCAGCCGUGGUCCUGGUCCCCGUGCCGCUCUCCAGGCUCCGCAGUCCUGCCCCAGCAAACCCGGGCCCUUGUCUCGCAGGCAGAGAUGAAAAUAAACUCCAGUGAAGGGUCCUUUAACUUUCUCUACUCGAGUGAAAAUAAAUGCGAUUUCCCCGCCACCCGGCCUUGUAAAUUCCCCUCACUGUGAAAUAUCUUCCAGAUAUAGUAAAGAGACGGCUUUUGGCUAUUUUUUUAAACAUCUUUAACUGCUGUAUAUAUUUCCAGGGAGACGUAAUAAGCGCUACAGCUAAUUUAUCUGCAUGUACUGUAAAUAUUUUCAGGAGAUAGCAGAAAGGAUUUCAAACACAUGGCUUGGAGGAUUGGCACACAGCAUAUGCUGGGUGGGAAGGACACCUUUAACCCUUCACCUGCCGCUUCCCUUCCCUCCGAGGAUGGCUGGCCACCCCCAUGCCCCCUGUGGCGAGGCUCCCUGUGGAGGGGGGCAGAGGCUGCUGCACCCCCCCGGGGCGCUGGCCCGUGGCUACUGCUCCAGCUGACAUCUGAGUGAACCAGGAGCUGUGGUCCUCCAGCUCAAAACGAGUUUUGGGAAGGGAGCAGCUGCAGUUUUACCCUCUGCAAGUCCCCUGCAGCCCCUGCAGCCCGCGGGUUUCUGCAGACGUCCAAGCCACGGCACCCCGUUACCCCUAAAACGGGCCGGCAGCCUCCUUUGGGUGGCACAUCUCACUCCUCCCCCCUUCACUUGGGACAUUUGUCUCUUCCCAAGCAGACGGAGGUGCAGAGGUGGGGAUGAGGAGCACAGGCAGUGCCCACCACUCGUGGCCUGCUCCUGGCCCCAUCUCUAACACCAUCACCCACCGGGGGCCGUCACCCUUUGGGGGUGGCACCCCCACACGGUGCCACCGCAGGGCACGGGGCUGUCCUCGGGGCAGGGCUGGGGAGGCAGCGGGGAGCUGCUCGGAGCCGUGUCCUCGUGCGAGCCUGUGCCUGGUGUCAGCAGGGAGCUUUGCAAAGCACACGUCUCAGUUCAGUGCCUGCUAAGAGGCAAACCCAGCCCUAUGGCACGCACGGCCCGUCCCGGAGCCGCGGGUCACCGCAGCGGGACCGUCACCCCGUGGAGGGGUUACGGGCUGGCUGGCCAGGCAAACCCACCCUGGGCACCCCUUGCUGCUGCUGCCUGGCCCCAGCAGUGACCUGGGCGAGCCCCGUGGCCCCACAGCCUCUGUCCUGGUGGCUGCAGGUCCCCGUUCGCAUCCCCCGAUCCCUGCUCCCACUGCACCUGCCCGGUGUGGCUGCGGGGGUGACCUGCGGCUUUCUGCUUGCAACGAAGGAGUUUUUUUUUUUCACUUAGGCUUUGUGAUUUGCUCCCAAGCCUCUUUUCUUCAUGAUGUAAUUUAACACAGAGCAAGGACACGGAGUACCUAUUGGCUUGGAGCCCACCCUAAAAACCAUAAAAAGGAGAUAAAAGCCUUUAAAUGCUAAGCCCGUCCGAGGAGACAAUAAAAGGCAAAUGUCUUCCCA